rnacentral:lncRNA from 1 species
CAUGAAUCAAGGAGAUGGCAGUGCUCUCUGGCAGACUUCAUUUGCAGAAAUUAUACCUGUUAUAUAUGUGUCAUAAGUCAAGUCUGGGAAAUGAGGGCUGGCAAGUGCACCUCCAGAGAUGUCAGCGUGAUCACUGUCGUUUGAGGCGUCUGCAAGGGAUGUGUGAUGGUGUGAUGAGAAUGAAAUCAAGGUAUUACAGUUAUUCUUUGCAGGGAGGAGCAGGGAGGGAAAAAAAAGCCAUCUUGUCCGCACCUGGAGUCUCCUCAUUUACUGUUACUGUAUUGGCUGGGUAUGAGUACCUCAAGCCCUACACACCCGACUGAGAACUUCCGUUUCUGUAACCCUUUUUACUGGAAAAUAGGAAAAUCUUCCCAGUCCCUUUUCAUCCCCGAACCAGCCCUUUACCCAGCCUGGACCAGCUUGUUGUCUAGGCUUCCCUGGGAAGAUCUGUGCUUUGGCUUGAUUCUCCCUCUACUGCAGGAAGAGACUGAGCUUGCCCAGGGGCCGGCUUGGGGGGAAGCCGCCCUCACCGCUUGCCUGCGCUUCUCUGCCCAG